CCUACGGGAUGCUGCAGUAGGGAAUAUUGCUCAAUGGGGGAAACCCUGAAGCAGCAACGCCGCGUGGAGGAUGAAGGUUUUCGGAUUGUAAACUCCUUUUGUUAGAGAAGAUAAUGACGGUAUCUAACGAAUAAGCACCGGCUAACUCCGUGCCAGCAGCCGCGGUAAUACGGAGGGUGCAAGCGUUACUCGGAAGCACUGGGCGUAAGGAGCGCGGAGGCGGGAUAGCAAGUCAGAUGUGAAAUCCUAUGGCUUAACCAUAGAACUGCAUUUGAAACUGUUAUUCUAGAGUAUGGGAGAGGUAGGUGGAAUUCUUGGUGUAGGGGUAAAAUCCGUAGAGAUCAAGAGGAAUACUCAUUGCGAAGGCGACCUGCUAGAACAUAACUGACGCUGAUGCGCGAAAGCGUGGGGAGCAAACAGGAUUAGAUACCCCAGUAGUC
rnacentral:rRNA from 1 species